AUUCCUACGGGAGGCAGCAGUGGGGAAUAUUGGACAAUGGGCGAAAGCCUGAUCCAGCCAUGCCGCGUGAGUGAAGAAGGCCUUAGGGUUGUGAACCGCUUUCAGCAGGGAAGAAAAUGACGGUACCUGCAGAAGAAGGUGCGGCCAACUACGUGCCAGCAGCCGCGGUAAUAAU
rnacentral:rRNA from 1 species